GACGAACGCUGGCGGCGUGCCUAAUACAUGCAAGUUGAGCGCUGAAGGUUGGUCCUUGUACCAACUGGAUGAGCAGCGAACGGGUGAGUAACACGUGGGGAAUCUGCCUUUGAGCGGGGGACAACAUUUGGAAACGAAUGCUAAUACCGCAUAAAAACUUUAAACACAAGUUUUAAGUUUGAAAGAUGCAAUUGCAUCACUCAAAGAUGAUCCCGCGUUGUAUUAGCUAGUUGGUGAGGUAAAGGCUCACCAAGGCGAUGAUACAUAGCCGACCUGAGAGGGUGAUCGGCCACAUUGGGACUGAGACACGGCCCAAACUCCUGCGGGAGGCAGCAGUAGGGAAUCUUCGGAAAUGGACGAAAGUCUGACCGAGCAACGCCGCGUGAGUGAAGAAGGUUUUCGGAUCGUAAAACUCUGUUGGUAGAGAAGAACGUUGGUGAGAGUGGAAAGCUCAUCAAGUGACGGUAACUACCCAGAAAGGGACGGCUAACUACGUG
rnacentral:rRNA from 1 species